CAUGAAGUCCUUGCCUACUCCUAUGUCCUGAAUGGUUUUGCCUAGAUUUUCUUCUAGGGGUUUUACAGUGUUAGGUCUUAUGUUUCAGUCUGGAGUGCAAUGGCGCAAUCUCGGCUCACUGCAACCUCCACCCCCUGGGUUCAGGCAGUUCUCCUGCUUCAGCCUCCUGAGUAGCAGGCUCGCGCCACCAUGCCCAGCUAAUUUUUUUUUUUUUUUUUUGUAUUUUUAGUAGAGACAUGGUUUUACCAUGUUGACCAGGAUGGUCUCCAUCUCUUGACCUCGUGAUCCACCCACCUCGGCCUCCCAAAGUGCUGGGAUUACAGGUUUGAGCCACCGUGCCCGGCCAAACUUUAUGACUUUUCUUUUUCUUUUCUUUCUUUUUUUUUUUCUUUUUUUUGAGACGGAGUUUUGCUCUUGUUACCCAGGCUGGAGUGCAAUGACACGAUCUCGGAUCACCACAACCUCCGCCUCCCGGGUUCGAGCAAUUCUCCUGUCUCAGCCUCCCGAGCAGCUGGGACUACAGGCGCACGCCACCAUGCCCAGCUAAUUUUUGUAUUUUUAGUAGAGACGGGGUUUCACCAUGUUGACCAGGAUGGUCUCGAUCUCUUGACCCAUAACAACUUUCUUACUGAUAUGAGAUGGUAUCUGGUAGUUUUGAUUCGUAUUUCUUUAAUAAUCGGUGAUGUUAAACUUUUUUUUCAUAUGCUUGUUGGCUUAUAUAUGUCUUUUUUGUUCAAUGUAUAAUGGGGUUUUUUCUUAUAAAUUUAAGUUUCUUAUAGAUGCUGGAUAUUAUAUAGAUAGACCUUUGUUAGAUUCAUAGUUUGCAAAAAUUUUCACCCAUUCUGUAGGUUGUCUGUUUACCCUGUUGAUAGUUUCUUUUGCUGUGCAAAAACUGUAUAGUUUAAUUAGAUCUCAUUUGUUUAUUUUUGCUUUUGUUGUGCUUGCUUUUGGUGUCUUUGUCAUGAAAUCUUUGCCCAUUCCUAUGUACACAAUGGUACUGUCUAGGUUAGUUCCAGGGUUUUCAUAGUUUUGAGUUUUACACUUAGCUCUUUAGUCCAUCUUUAGUUAAUUUUAAUACAUGGUGUAAGGAAGGGGGUUGGUUUCAAUCUUCUGAAUAUGGCAGUUCACUUAUCCCAGCACCAUUUAUUGAAAUAGGUUUUCUUUUUUUAUUGCUAUAUUUUUGUCAGCUUUAUCAAAGAUCAGACAGUUGUAGAUAUGCGGCUUUUUAUUUCUUGGCUUUCUAUUAUGUUCCAUUGGUCUAUGUAACUGUUUUUGUAGCAGUGCCAUGCUGUUUUGGUUACUGUAGCCCAUUAGUAUAGUUUGAUGUAGGGUAGCGUGAUACCUCUAGCUUUUUCGUUUUUGAUUAGGACUGCCUUGGGUAUUUGAGGUCUCUUUUGUUUCAAUAUGAAUUUAAAAUAGUUUUUUUUUCUAGUUCUGUGAAGAAUACUAUUGGUAUUUUGAUAGGAAGAGCAUUGACUCUCCAAAUUGCUUUUGGCAGUAUAGCCAUUUUAACAAUAUUGAUUCUUUCUAUUCAUGAACAUAGAAUGCUUUUUCAUUUGUUU
rnacentral:lncRNA from 1 species